rnacentral:lncRNA from 1 species
ACUGGGCUACCCGGUGUCACCUCAUUCACUUAUUUUAUUUCUUUGUUGCUUUGUUGGUUUAUUUUGCAUGACUCUCAGCCACCCAUUGUGCCCAAGUUAUCCAGUGAUGGUGACAUCUCCAACUUUGAGACUUAUCCAGAGGGUGAGUUGGACAAGACUCCUUCUGUAUCUGAUGAAGAUCUGGAAACAUUCAAAAAUUUCUGAGGAUGAGAACUCAUGUCUGCAAGAAGUGUGUGAAGACAUCCACACCACACUGAUGACCAGAACCGUUUUGUUGUUGUAUCCGUUUCUUGCUGUGAAACUAGAAGGUUUGGUGUGUGUGUGUGGGUGUGUAUAUGCAAGUUCCUGCAAUGUUAACACAAUCCAUCACCCUUGGGACCCAGCCUCAUUUCAACAACUGGAAACCUGCCCAGUGAAAAUUUCGCAAAAACUGUUAAAUUGUAGGUUUUCUCCUUCUUCAUGAGUCUUGUGUUCGUGUUGUGAAUUUGGUUUGUUCGUUUGUUUUUCUACUGAACUUUUAAAGUUUGAAUUUGACCCAUUUGAUUAUAGCUGUCAGUGUGUAUGUGCACAAAAACUGUGCAAACUGGAAAUUUUGGCACUUUGAUGUGCCUGUGACAUGUUCAACUUUUAAAGAUUUCUGAAAAUUCUGUUGCCUUGCAGGCAAAAAAAAGGUGAGAUAUAUGCAUUUUUAAAAUGCCUUUCUAUGCAUUUUGCAAUCAUAUUUGUACAUUGUUUAUUGAGUUGUUAUUUGUUUAUUUAGUUCUUUUCUGAUCACUUUAAACUU